rnacentral:tRNA from 1 species
GGGCCCGUAGUCUAGCGGUAUGAUGCCCAGCCGCGCACGCGGGUGGCCCCGGGUUCGAAUCCCGGCGGGCCCA